UAGGGAGACCUAAUCCAUUUAGAAAUCGAGGGUGAUGAAAAUUGCUAAUAGAAACUAAAUUGGUCUAACCUAGGUCGGUCGCAGACUUGAAGUAAAGCUUUCAAACUAUGAUUUGGUUCGAUAAGGGCUAUUAGCUCAGGUGGUUAGAGCGCACCCCUGAUAAGGGUGAGGUCCCUGGUUCGAGUCCAGGAUGGCCCACCUGAAGGAAGUCAAAAAUCAAAAGUCAAAAGUCAAAAGUAAAUAUUUUUGAGCCGUGACUAUAAAUUUUGAGUUCUUUUUGGGGGUUUAGCUCAGUUGGUAGAGCGCCUGCUUUGCAAGCAGGAUGUCAGCGGUUCGAGUCCGCUAACCUCCACAUUGGAAAAAAGACAGCACCUAACUAUAAAAGUUAGAAUGCUGGAUGAAAUUCCAGUCAGAACCUUGAAAACUGCAUAAGAGAAAGAGAAAAAGCACCGCAGACACAGACAUUUAGAUGGAUGUGGAAGCAAAAGAAAUUGUGGUCAAGCUAAUAAGGGC
rnacentral:tRNA from 1 species